GAAGAUCUCUCUCAUUCGUUCUGAGGGGGCGGGGCUUAGAUCACGUCAUACUAUGAUGACAUAGAAUUUUCAGGCAUCACAUCAGGAUCACUCAGGCCAAGUUUGGUGCAGCUCGGUCGAAACAUGUGGAAUCUAGAAGCAAACUUAUGGCAUCGGCGUUACAGGUCACUUCGCCACGCCGCCACACCCACCUGCUAUGUCAAAGCCGGUCGGGGUUGGAAUCCACAACACACCAACAUGUCUUCUGUCUCUGGACACAGUUUCAUGU